UACGAAGGGGGCUAGCGUUGCUCGGAAUCACUGGGCGUAAAGGUGCGUAGGCGGGUCUUUAAGUCAGGGGUGAAAUCCUGGAGCUCAACUCCAGAACUGCCUUUGAUACUGAAGAUCUUGAGUUCGGGAGAGGUGAGUGGAACUGCGAGUGUAGAGGUGAAAUUCGUAGAUAUUCGCAAGAACAUCAGUUGCGAAGGCGGACUCUCUGGACCAGCACUGACACUGAGGCACGAAAGCGUGGGAGCAACAG
rnacentral:rRNA from 1 species